UUACCCAUGUCUUUUGAGUACCUUCGUUUCCUCGGCGGGUUCGCCCGCCGAUUGGACAAUUUAAACCAUUUGCAGUUGCAAUCAGCGUCUGAAAAAACAUAAUAGUUACAACUUUCAACAACGGAUCUCUUGGUUCUGGCAUCGAUGAAGAACGCAGCGAAAUGCGAUAAGUAGUGUGAAUUGCAGAAUUCAGUGAAUCAUCGAAUCUUUGAACGCACAUUGCGCCCCUUGGUAUUCCAUGGGGCAUGCCUGUUCGAGCGUCAUUUGUACCUUCAAGCUCUGCUUGGUGUUGGGUGUUUGUCUCGCCUCUGCGCGUAGACUCGCCUCAAAACAAUUGGCAGCCGGCGUAUUGAUUUCGGAGCGCAGUACAUCUCGCGCUUUGCAUUCAGAACGACGACGUCCAAAAGU
rnacentral:rRNA from 1 species